AUUGUCCACAGGUUUAACCAGUCCAAAACACAAACGACAGCCGAAGAAGAAGGCAAAUACUUGGUAGAAGGAAGCUAUUGUUUCCUUCCAAGAACUUAGCUGCUUCACAAAGAAAUCUGGAUCUCGAAAUUACAUCUGCGACGGUGGUGUUUGUGUUCUACGAAGCUCCAACAAUCCGACACUUGAAAUGGGUUAAUAAUACAUCUCUACUAUCUCAGUUCUUGAAACUUGUUUGUAAUCUGUCUACUUUGUAUUUUAUUAUUUUUGUUUCCAAAAUGAAAAUCGAAUGAUAUCUUAAUUAUAAGGAUUUUGGUCA